UGGGGAAUAUUGCGCAAUGGGCGAAAGCCUGACGCAGCCACGCCGCGUGUGUGAUUGAAGGCCUUCGGGUCGUAAAGCACUGUCGGGAGGGACGAAUACUGACGGUACCUCCCAAGAAAGCACCGGCUAACCCUGUGCCAGCAGCCGCGGUAAUACAGGGGGUGCAAGCGUUGCUCGGAAUUACUGGGCGUAAAGCGUGCGCAGGCGGUUUUGCAAGUCGGGGGUGAAAACCCGGGGCUCAACCCCGGAAUUGCCUCCGAAACUGCAAGACUUGAGUACGAGAGAGGGUCGCGGAAUUCUUGGUGUAGAGGUGAAAUUCGUAGAUAUCAGGAAGAACACCAGUGGCGAAAGCGGCGACCUGGCUCGAUACUGACGCUCAUGCACGAAAGCGUGGGGAGCAAACAGG
rnacentral:rRNA from 1 species